CCUUCCCUUUAUCUUCUCUCAUGCGGAAGCACAGUAGUCGGCUCGACAUUGUGCGCGAUUUGCGCAUUUUCUUCCUCUUCGUACGCCCGACACCCCCUUUCCAUUUCUCCACGUGAUCUUCUCUGAUCCGGUGAUGACAACAACUCCGGUGGCCACUUGAGCGAUGGCAACAUCUUCGAAGGCUUCUGUGAGCAGCGACGACACGAUGAGCUUAGAUUUAGGGAUUUCUUGUCGUCGGAGCGUUGUCCUCCGAGGAGGGGGCAGCUGGCCGAUUCAUCUUCAUCUCCAGCAAACUUCUUCUCAAACUUCAUCACUGAGCUAUGGAUUUCCGCAGAUGACGUUCUGAAUGCUGGCAUGAUCCCAGCAACCUCAAUCUUCAAUUUCGGCAUAGCAAUUUCUGUUUUGGUUUUUGUGUGGUUUCUGUUGAUGUUAUAAUUGUGUAUUGGUUCUUGUUAUUCACUGUUCAAAUUAGUUGUAUUGCUGUCCACUGGGGCUGGCGUUCCAAAUCUAGGUCUCCGUGUGACGACGUGUAACAAUCUAAUUUUCCCUAUUUCAAGUUUUAAAAGUCCAUAAAAAUAUUUUGAAA